UCUAAGAGAGAACGUGGGUGGAGUCAGCGACAAAAGUACACGCUGGCAGCCGUUCCACUCCAAACCGCAGUCACAAGAUUGCGGAAUACGAUCCGGAUCUCCACUUAGAGUUCUGUGGUUUUGAUAUCGUGGUCGCGAGGCUGGUCUUCGCGGUCCUUGCGUCCAAUCGGCCUCGAAAAUAAAAUGACUUCGGGGGCUGUAGCCCAGCUGGGAGAGCGCCUGAUUUGCACUCAGGAGGUCGCCGGUUCGAUCCCGACCAGCUCCACCAGUUUCGCCUCCACGGGCCUGUAGCUCAGGUGGCUAGAGCGCACCCCUGAUAAGGGUGAGGUCGGUAGUUCAACUCUACCCAGGCCCACCAAGUUCGAGCCGUUGGCGGCUCGGUGGCAUGCCGAACGGGUAGUGGCCGUGGCCAGGCAUCGGAGUGGAUUUAGGGUUUAGGAUUUAGGAUUUGGUUCACCGCCAAGUCCCAAAUCCUAAAUCCCAAAUCCUGGGGUUUCAUGUUCUUUGACAAUARAAUAUUGACGGGCAUUUACUACAAGUAGAUGCAAAGCGCAAAAGAAUUUACAUUUUGUGUUCAGAGUAGAUUUUAU
rnacentral:misc_RNA from 1 species